CUGCAGACUUCAGUGGUGAUAGUGGUGAACAAAUGUUCUCUGCUCUCACAGAACUUCUAGGCAAAUGGGUAACUUUAAAGGUCUACAGAGAUCAUUCAUUCAAUUACUAGUUCAGUGCCAACUAUGUACAAGUAGAUGGUGAACUCCUUCAGUGGAUAUCAUCAUCAUCAACAGCAACAGCAGCAAGAGCUAACACUCACUGAGCGCAGAAAUUCCAGGGGCUAAUCUUGAAACAAACCAGCCCAUGGCGACCCAGCUGUGAAAUUCCAGAGAUUACCUCCAGGCAGUUUGUCAACAACCCAGCCAUUGUUGAGAUGAUGCCAGCCCUUGCUCCAGGUGGACCAUGACUCAAGACAGUCACUGGAACAAGACAGGGUUGUCACAGCAAGUACCACAGACUAUGUGGCUCAAA